rnacentral:lncRNA from 1 species
GUCUUAGUUCGGCUCUAUUGCCGCGAGCUUGACUCUUCCUGGGUCUGAGGAAAAGUAAAAGUAAUUUUGUCAUUUCCUGAAACUUCAAGUUAAACCUUUAAGCUGUUCAUUUCCUAAAAGGGUGAAAACGCGGGCACCCCUCGAGCUAGUUCAUCGCCUUUUAACCUGUUGUUGGAUCUUUCCAGAUCACCACACCACAUCACCCAGCCACUCUGCCCAAUGGGAGGGCAGACAGUGUUCCAGUGUAGGAGGAAGGGGUGUAAGGUGCGGGCAGUUUGUGAGGAGGGCACCAACGAGAGCUACUGUGAGAAAGUCUGCAUGGUCAAAAAGUGGAUUACCAAGAACAAAGCAUCAUAAUGUUGUCCAGUGGACCCCAGGGUCAUCUGGAUGAAAUGAAUACUUUUAGGGCAAAAUGGCUGAUACUGCUUCCUUGAUAACCACAUAUAGAAAACUGACAACUGUUUAGAACAAAGCCAAAGAUGAAACCAAAUAUAAAACCACUGAUGAAAACUAAGUGAAAAAUAUAAGCAAAAUAGAAGAAAAAUAAGGUCGUUAUUUCAAGAAAACGAAAGACAGUCAAUGCUGUUCUUUGUAUUCACAUACAAUUUGGUUCACACCAAAAUUUUUUAUCUUUAUCGUAUAACUGAAUGAGUUAUGUGGCACAU